rnacentral:rRNA from 1 species
CAACCUGCCUCAUAGAGAGGAAUAGCCUUACCGAAAGGGAGAUUAAUACCUCAUAACAUUGCAGUUUCGCAUGGAACAGCAAAUUAAAGGAGUAAUCCGCUAUGAGAGUCGGGCCCGCGGCGCAUUAGCUAGUUGGUGAGGUAACGGCUCACCAAGGCGACGAUGCGUAGCCGACCUGAGAGGGUGAGUCGGCCACAGUUGGGACUGAGACACCGGCCCAGACUCCGUACGGGAGGCAGCAGGUGGGGAAUAUUGCACAAUGGGGGAAACCCUGAUGCAAGCAACGCCGCGUGAGUGAUGACGGCCUUCGGGUUGUAAAGCUCUGUCUUCAGGGACGAUAAUGACGGUACCUGAGGAGGAAGCCACGGCUAACUACGUGCCAGCAGCCGC